CACGAGUCUCAGAGAUGGCAUUGCUGGGAGCAAUAGGGGCAGGGUAGCCAUGUAUAGUUUCCCAGGAAGUAGGCACAUUAUUGAAGCAAAUCAGAUCAAGAGAGGAGGAAAAUGCUGGACACAUUUUGAUGUAACCUUGUGUGGCAGGUGGCGAUUGGCCCCUGGCAAUCAAAGCUGCCAAGUGCGUGACCUGGUGUCUCUUGAUGUGAUCAAGACCUGGAAACCCACAGCAAAUGAGUCAGCCCUGACACGGAGACCCUUUAGCUCUGUAGCCCUCACCUCUGAAUGCCUGAUCCUGCACUGGAGACUUUCUUAGAGUCCAUUGUCAGGAUUUUCCAAGUCCUGCCCGUGAGCACUGUCCCAGUCUUCACAGUCUGGCUGCAUGGAUGAUUCUUCAUUGGAAGUCCCAAUUGGAUGAGUAUGAUUUUGAGGGCAUUCCUAAAGGUCCACGUCACUGCUUACC